GGGAGCUGAGUCACUGGAGCCAUAACAGGCUCUGUGUUCCCAGGCCUCAUUGGGCAGCACAUGAAGGAACGACGGCAGGAGGAGUUCCAGAUCACCUGUGAUGGUCACCUGAAGCAUGUAUUCAGCGGUUCUGAUCAUGAGAUGACUGAACCAACAGCCGUCUCUCCUCUGGCUCCCUCUGC